rnacentral:rRNA from 1 species
ACGAACGCUGGCGGCACGCUUAACACAUGCAAGUCGAACGAGAGAAGAGGAGCUUGCUUUUCUGAUCUAGUGGCGGACGGGUGAGUAACACGUGAGCAAUCUGCCUUUCAGAGGGGGAUACCGAUUGGAAACGAUCGUUAAUACCGCAUAACAUAAUUGAACCGCAUGAUUUGAUUAUCAAAGAUUUAUCGCUGAAAGAUGAGCUCGCGUCUGAUUAGCUAGUUGGUAAGGUAACGGCUUACCAAGGCGACGAUCAGUAGCCGGACUGAGAGGUUGAUCGGCCACAUUGGGACUGAGACACGGCCCAGACUCCUACGGGAGGCAGCAGUGGGGAAUAUUGCACAAUGGAGGAAACUCUGAUGCAGCGAUGCCGCGUGAGGGAAGAAGGUUUUAGGAUUGUAAACCUCUGUCUUCAGGGACGAAAAAUGACGGUACCUGAGGAGGAAGCUCCGGCUAACUACGUGCCAGCAGCCGCGGUAAUACGUAGGGAGCGAGCGUUGUCCGGAAUUACUGGGUGUAAAGGGAGCGUAGGCGGGAUCGCAAGUCAGAUGUGAAAACUAUGGGCUUAACCCAUAAACUGCAUUUGAAACUGUGGUUCUUGAGUGAAGUAGAGGUAAGCGGAAUUCCUAGUGUAGCGGUGAAAUGCGUAGAUAUUAGGAGGAACAUCAGUGGCGAAGGCGGCUUACUGGGCUUUAACUGACGCUGAGGCUCGAAAGCGUGGGGAGCAAACAGGAUUAGAUACCCUGGUAGUCCACGCCGUAAACGAUGAUUACUAGGUGUGGGGGGACUGACCCCUUCCGUGCCGCAGCAAACGCAAUAAGUAAUCCACCUGGGGAGUACGACCGCAAGGUUGAAACUCAAAGGAAUUGACGGGGGCCCGCACAAGCAGUGGAGUAUGUGGAUUAAUUCGAAGCAACGCGAAGAACCUUACCAGGUCUUGACAUCGUAUGCAUAGCUCAGAGAUGAGUGAAAUCUCUUCGGAGACAUAUAGACAUGUGGUGCAUGGUUGUCGUCAGCUCGUGUCGUGAGAUGUUGGGUUAAGUCCCGCAACGAGCGCAACCCUUACUGUUAGUUGCUACGCAAGAGCACUCUAGCAGGACUGCCGUUGACAAAACGGAGGAAGGUGGGGAUGACGUCAAAUCAUCAUGCCCCUUAUGACCUGGGCCUCACACGUACUACAAUGGCUGUCAACAGAGGGAAGCAAAGCCGCGAGGUGGAGCAAACCCCUAAAAGCAGUCUUAGUUCGGAUUGUAGGCUGCAACCCGCCUACAUGAAGUCGGAAUUGCUAGUAAUCGCAGAUCAGCAUGCUGCGGUGAAUACGUUCCCGGGCCUUGUACACACCGCCCGUCACGCCAUGGGAGUCGGUAACACCCGAAGCCUGUAGUCUAACCGCAAGGAGGACGCAGUCGAAGGUGGGAUUGAUGACUGGGGUG